rnacentral:lncRNA from 1 species
UGAAGAUGUAGAACUCUCAGUUCGUCACACACCAUACUGCCUGAACACUGCUAUGCUCCCAUCUUGGUGAUAAUGGAUUGAACCUCUGAACCUGUAAGCCAGCCCCAAUUAAAUGUAAGAGUUGCCUUGGCCAUGGUGUCUGCUCACAGCAGUAAAACCCUAACUAAGAAGUUGGUACCAGGGACUGGGGUAUUGCUGUGAUAGGGUUGACCAUGUUUUUAUUUGGAGGUAUGUGGAUUUUGAGACUUUGGGUUUGGAAAACAGUGAAAGGCUUUAAGUAGGAGCUUAAUUAUCCAUCCUAGUAGAAAUAUGGAAGGCUUUGUUGCUGCUUGAUUUGAACUGUACAGACCUGACCCAAGAGGUUUCCAGUGGAGAAUUUCAGUAGGUGGCCCUUUCUAUUCUUGACUCUAAAACGAGAGCCAUUUGACUGAAGCUGUCAAGUUCUGCUGCUUGCUGGGCUGGGACACCCCCCUCCUCAUUCUACCAGCCUUCUGUUUUCCAAAUCCCACUCACUGCCCCCCUCCCACAUCCCUUCCUCCAGUCUUCCCUCCCCU